CCUCAGUUUGUCCGUUUGUGAUUAAGUUGUACUCAUUUCAAACAUUUCCCCUUUACCAGCCUUCCAGGAGGCACCAGUCAGAGCAAUCAAAUGGAAUCAUCUCCUGGUGAAGUUACCCAGCUGCUAAAUCUAAAGCCCUGAGCAAGGUACUGUACAGUUUACAAAGAAGAGUCAGAUGCAGCCCCAUUGUGCUCUUAAGGGACAACAAUAGAAGAAAUGACAGAAGACAAUCAGAGAUGAUUAAUGACCAGAUGAAUGAUAUAUACCAGGUGGUCCCAACCUGAGCUCCCAGGCUCCCAAGGGUCUUAGAGAGCAGUAAUGGGGGGAGAAGGAAGGGGUGCUUAUGAGCUAUUUUCAGUACUUCAAAAAGACUAAUCCAAAGAGCUCAUAUUUGCUAGAUAUUAGAUGCACAGGCUAAUUAAAAGAAAACAUCAGGUUUCUUUGCUCGAGGCUAGAAACACCAGUUACCCCAUGCUGACUGGAAGAUCUGAUUGGCAGUUACCGUUGUCUUUGAUUAAUAAAACAUGAGAAAAUGAAUUAA